GUCUAGAGAAUUUUUCUGAUAAAUUCUACCAAGCAUUAAAGAGAAAAUAAUAUCAAUUAUACACAAACUCUUCUGGAAAAAUUUUCAAGGAAGGAAUGCUCUUCAUUCUAUGAGGUCAAUAUUAUCUUGACAAAAUAAAAACCAGACAAAAUAUUAUAAGGAAAGCAAAUUAUAGAUGAAAAUUCCUCAUGAACAUAGAUGCAAAAUUUUCUCAACAAAGCAUCAGUAAGUUCAAUCAAUAAUGUAUAAAAAGAAUAGCAUCAUGAUCCAAGUGGGAUUUAUCCUAAGAUUAUAAGAUUGAUUUAACAUUCAAAAAUCAAUAUAAUCCAUCAUUAAUAAGCUAAAAAAGGAAAACCUUAUGAUCAUUUAAACAGAUAUAAAAAAUAACUUUGCCAAAAUUAACAUCAAUACCUGAUUAAAUCUUUCAGUAAAUUAGGAAAAGACUGUCAUCAACCUGAUAAAUGAUAUCUCUAAAUGUUUGUUGAUUGAAAUGGAGCUAAUAAAGUUAUUUUGUUCUGUUGACCUAAUUUGACUUUCUAGAGUACCAGCAUUAGUUCCAGGAAUAACAAAUUUUAAAAUGCAGAGGAUAAGAGAGAGCAGAAAAUUGCAAAGAAGAAAGUAAAAUGUGGGCCCUAAAAAAAAAGAAUAAAGGAACUUGACAGGAGAUCUAAGGCUAAGGUAGAGAUUUAGGCAAUUGGGGUUCAGUUGAAAUGCUAGGAGGAAUAGGGCCUCACCUCCAUUCUUUUUUUUUUUUAAUUGUAUUUUAGUUAUAGAUAGACAUAAUAUCUUUAUUUAUUUAUUUUUAUGUGGUGCUGAGGACUGAACCCGGUGCCUCACCCGUUGUAAGGCAAACAUUCUACCACUGAGCUACAGCCCCAGUCCCUGUACCUUCAUUCUUGAGAAUCAAUUCCAACGUUCCUGAUCUCCCUCGAAAGGGGAAGCCAAACUUGGAUUUAUUUCACUAUAAACAGGAUAUUUUUC
rnacentral:lncRNA from 1 species